rnacentral:rRNA from 1 species
UCCUGCCAUGCCGCGUGCGGGAAGAAGGCCUUCGGGUUGUAAACCGCUUUUGUCAGGGAAGAAAUCCUUUGAACUAAUACUUCGGAGGGAUGACGGUACCUGAAGAAUAAGCACCGGCUAACUACGUGCCAGCAGCCGCGGUAAUACGUAGGGUGCAAGCGUUAAUUGGAAUUACUGGGCGUAAAGCGUGCGCAGGCGGUUAUGCAAGACAGAUGUGAAAUCCCCGGGCUCAACCUGGGAACUGCAUUUGUGACUGCAUGGUUAGAGUACGGUAGAGGGGGAUG